rnacentral:rRNA from 1 species
CAUGGGCGCAGCCUGAUGCAGCGACGCCGCGUGAGGGAUGACGGCCUUCGGGUUGUAAACCUCUUUCAGCAGGGAAGAAACGAGAGUGACGGUACCUGCAGAAGAAGGGCCGGCUAACUACAUGCCA